CCUACGGGAGGCUGCAGUGGGGAAUAUUGCACAAUGGGGGAAACCCUGAUGCAGCAACGCCGCGUGAGCGAAGAAGGCCUUCGGGUCGUAAAGCUCUGUCCUAAGGGAAGAAUUUUGACGGUACCUUAGGAGGAAGCCCCGGCUAACUACGUGCCAGCAGCCGCGGUAAUACGUAGGGGGCAAGCGUUAUCCGGAAUCACUGGGCGUAAAGGGUGCGUAGGCGGCUAAGUAAGCCAGGGGUGAAAGGCUACGGCUCAACCGUAGUAAGCCUUUGGAACUACUUAGCUUGAGUGCAGGAGAGGAGAGUGGAAUUCCUAGUGUAGCGGUGAAAUGCGUAGAUAUUAGGAGGAACACCAGUGGCGAAGGCGACUCUCUGGACUGUAACUGACGCUGAGGCACGAAAGCGUGGGGAGCAAACAGGAUUAGAUACCCGAGUAGUC
rnacentral:rRNA from 1 species